GGGGAUUUAGCUCAGUGGUACAGCACCUACCUGGCAAGUGUGAGGUCCUGAGUUUGUGUCCCAGUAUCCUCU
rnacentral:tRNA from 1 species